CCCGCUCAGAAACUCAAAUGAAUUGACGUGGGCCCGCACAAGCGGUGGAGUAUGUGGUUAAUUCGAUGCAACGCGAAGAACCUUACCUGGUCUUGACAUCCCGGAGACCCUUAGGAAACUAGGGGGUGCUUCCAUCUGGAAGAAUCUGGAGACAGGUGCUGCAUGGCUGUCGUCAGCUCGUGUCGUGAGAUGUUGGGUUAAGUCCCGCAACGAGCGCAACCCUUGCCUUUAGUUGCCAGCAGUUCGGCUGGGCACUCUAAAGGGACUGCCGGUGUUAAACCGGAGGAAGGUGGGGAUGACGUCAAGUCCUCAUGGCCUUUAUGACCAGGGCUACACACGUACUACAAUGGCCGAUACAAAGGGCAGCGACACUGCGAGGUGAAGCCAAUCCCGUAAAAUCGGUCUCAGUCCGGAUUGGAGUCUGCAACUCGACUGCGUGAAGUCGGAAUCGCUAGUAAUCGUGAAUCAGAAUGUCACGGUGAAUACGUUCCCGGGCCUU
rnacentral:rRNA from 1 species